GUCGUCGUGGCCGAGUGGUUAUGGCGCUAGUCUAGAAAACUAGUUCGCUCCGCGAGCGCAGGUUCGAAUCCUGCCGACGACG